rnacentral:lncRNA from 1 species
AACUUCAAUAAUUCAUAUUUUACAAUCGGACCAUCCAAACAAACUAAAAUUUUACAUGAAGUACUACUGUACUUUAAACAACUAUCAAAAUAAAUUUCAACUACAAAUUUGUUAUGAAUCUUAAAAUAUCACCAAAAUCUUAACAAUAGGUUCAAAUCCUUACUUAUACAUGCUUCUAUGUAAUUUUCUUCAUAUCUCACAAAUUAAGUACUUAAAUACCAUAAAAUUUUGAUAUAUAGCUUUUUAACCUAAUAACUCAUAUCUUUAAAAAUUUUGAGUAAAAAAUUCAUCCAAAAACUCAAAAUAUGGCUCCAACUAUUACUAUCAAUAAAACACCUUAUUUAUUACCUUUCAAUUAUAU